AGAGAGAGACAUGCGCGCAUAUCAAUAAGCGGAGGAAAAGAAACUAACAAGGAUUCCCCUAGUAACGGCGAGGUGAAGCGGGAAGAGCUCAAAUUUGAAAUCUUAAAGGGUUUCCCUUUACGAACUGUAGUUUAAAGAAGUGUUUUCUGUUGAGGUUUUGGUAAAAGUUCUUUGGAAUAGGACAUCAUAGAGGGUGAGAAUCCCGUAUUUGACCUUUACUUUCAACUUUGUGAUACACUUUCAAAGAGUCGGAUUGUUUGGGAAUGCAGUCCAAAAUGGGUGGUAAAUUUCAUCUAAAGCGAAAUAUUGGCGAGAGACCGAUAGCGAACAAGUACCGUGAGGGAAAGAUGAAAAGAACUUUGAAAAGAGAGUUAAACAGUACGUGAAAUUGUCAAAAGGGAAGCGUUUGACACCAGUGUUGUUUUUCUGAAAAUCAAUUAAAGAACUGUUUAUGCUAAGUUGUUUAGACUUUAUCAGCUAACUGUUUAGUUUUGAGCUUUUCUUUAAUGCACUUUUCAGUUAACAAGUCAACAUCAAUUUCUUUUGCUGUAAAAAAGCUUGAGGAAGGUGGCUUGAGAUUCGUCUUAAGUGUUUAUAGCCUCUUGCCUAUGCAGUCGGAGAGAUUGAGGUCUGCAGCGUAGAUCCUUCGGGGCUAAAUGCAUUUGUGCUAAGUUAUAGCAUUUUAUAGACAACUUGUUGACUAUGAUUUGUCUUGUAGCUUACUCGCUUAUGUUAUUUUACCUACGCUUAGGAUGUUGAGCGCAUGUCUCUCUCU
rnacentral:rRNA from 1 species